UUAUGCAGAGAGCGGCAGCUUUAAAUGCAUUUUACAAUGGGUACAUAUGCAUUGCAAAUUCUGACCUCGCAUGAUGUUGGUGCAUGUUCAAUCAGAUCCUGCUGGACGUCUGGUUAUCAUAGGGGAUCCAGAGCAGCCUGAUAAUCCUUGGGGGAUCACUCCGUUCAAGAAGGUGGUCAACUUGCCAUCAAGAAUCAAUCCUCACCAAACAUCCGCUGUUGUCACGCUUCAUGGUCAGCUGUUUGUGCGUGCACCAUUUGGGUCAUCCUGAUAUGUAGAUAUGAAAUCAUUUUUAGUUCAGUUUUGUUGACUGUGCCGCCUCUUCACCGGUGAUAUUCCUUGAUAUCACUAGGUCCGUGAUUUGUGGUCUUUCAGGAAUUCCUUGCCCCAAAAUUUAUCUUGUUUUCUUUGAUUUCAUGUAUUUUGUUUAUUGUGCAGGGUUUAUGUCAGUUCUGUUGAGGAAAUAGGAUUUCA